ACAGUUACAGAAGUGGUGUUUGUAGAAGAUCCACCGCAGAGCUUUUAUUCUUGCCAGCGAUCACUCUGGGAAGGUACUCUGAUCUGACACCCACAGGCUGCUGUUCUGCCGAUGCUCUUUUGCAUCAGACAUAAUGAGAUGGAGGUGCAGGAGUAACGCUGGAAACUCAAGCUGUUUGACGGCCUCCAGAUCACCUUCAGUGCCUGGAGUGGGACUGAAUUUCAUCUCAGUCAAGGCGAAGAAAAGUGGC